ensembl:lncRNA novel transcript
AGGAACGGAGGCUGUGACGGUGGAGGGUGGCCAGGCAGCAGGAGGCCGGGGAAGCGGGUGUCCUGAAGCAGAGGCCGCGGCGCCACGUGUAUGGCAGCUUGCAGGAUAAAAGCCAAAGUGAUUGCUCCAAAUGGACAUCCAUGCCAGUCAUCUGUGCAUCUUCUGGUGUGUGCAGGACCCGAUGGAGGAGUGAUGAGACCUCAGAGCCAUGUCCAGGCUCUUCCAGUCAGUUGGUGGCCUCCACAAAUGCCAGCCAGCCCGCCCAAUGCAAGCUUCUGCUUGGCCAACGUGUAGCAGUUACGAUGCAGCAAUUGGAAGAGGCUGUGGGGAUCAGUAAUUCCAGUGGGGGAGCGACGGACACCCCUAAGAACCCAUUCCACGAUUUUAGUCCCAAAUUGGAUUUUGCUUGGAGAAAUUCUCUGCCCUGUAGUAGUGGUUUUUAAGAUCACAGAUAUUGGAGUAAGAAAGACAAGGCUCUUCUAUUUGCUGGUCUAUUGACUCACAGGGGAAUACCAGAGAACUUGGCAUCCAGAAAACAGUCAACAAAUGAAGACAGUGCAACUAAGACCUGGGCGCCAUGUUCCUUCCCUAAGGCUCAUUUCACUAGGAUGCUGUGUCAGCACGCGCACACACACACACACACACACUCACACACUCCAGGAAGCCUCUAAAAGAAAUGCAAGUGUUCUCCAGUAGAAGGAGCAUCGCUGAAAUUUACUCAACAGCACGGUCUUCGUGUCUUUCCCUCCCAGGCCCACACUCUCAGCUGCCUCCUCCCCUCUCGCUCCUUUCCUCCUGUGUUCUCCAGCAAGGUGCAGGAGCCCGUGGAGGAGACCCGGUUUCCAGCACCGAGGGGCUCAAGAAUCUCAGGUCACCUGUGAGAUGAGCUCUGAGCACUUGCCCACACUCCUGAGCAUGAACAUAAAGCCCCAUCACAUGCAGUGGCAGAUGGUUAAGACAACAACCAACCAUCUCGUCAGAUAAAAGCUUCGCUCCACUUAAAGUGGAUGAUUUUUAAAUUUGUUUGUAAAACCUUUGAUAUUUGACUACUAAGAAAUUAUAAGAUCCCUAUGGACAGGCAACUAAUUUUCUACAUUUCCUGGUUCUUUAAAAAUAAAUAAUUGUCAUAGGUCCUUAUUAAAGCUCUCAGAAUUGUACUUUUGAUUUCUAAUAAAUGCCAAAAUAUAUCUUAUCAAAUAUUUACAGUGGAGUCAGGCAUAAAGUCUAUAACCUCAAGAACAUGAACUGUCAAUUUAUACUACCGUGGACUCAAUUUGGCAAGUUAAGGGGUGAGGAAUGGGAUUUCAGGAAAAGCCAAAGGGUCUAAUUGUUUAUGAUACAUAUUUUAAGUAUCUGUCAUAAAAUGUGACCAAGCCUGUUGUAUUCUUUGAAUAGCUGAUUUCCCUGUUUUAUCCCCUCUUUGAGUUAUUUUCAUACAGUUUCACAGAUAACUGCAAUACUUUUUCUUAACCUGAGAUUUCUGAAGUUAAUAUGAUGGAACUGCUGUGUGACACUGGAAUUCGGACUGAGGGCGUUGAAGAAGAACAGGGCUUCCUCCCAGCCAAGGGCUCUUUAAUGCGGAGCCUGGAGCAGCCCAGAAAUCUUGCAGCAAAUCUACAAGAUGGGCCGUGACCGGGUCAAACGGAAAUCUCUUUCAGUACUUUGUUCAUGCCAUGCAAUACUCUUAUUCUCAUCAUUUUGAUAAGGAAUAGGUUUUUUUCCCCUUUAGUUCCUCUUCCCU